AGAGUUUGAUUAUGGCUCAGGAUGAACGCUGGCGGCGUGCUUAACACAUGCAAGUCGAACGAGCUUACUUUCACGAUCCCCUUCGGGGGUGACGAGUUGUAAGCGAGUGGCGGACGGGUGAGUAACGCGUGGGCAACCUGCCCCAUACAGGGGGAUAACAGUUGGAAACGACUGACAAUACCGCAUAAGCGCACAGUACCGCAUGGUACGGUGUGAAAAACUCCGGUGGUAUGGGAUGGGCCCGCGUCUGAUUAGCUAGUUGGUGAGGUAACGGCCCACCAAGGCGACGAUCAGUAGCCGACCUGAGAGGGUGACCGGCCACAUUGGGACUGAGACACGGCCCAAACUCCUACGGGAGGCAGCAGUGGGGAAUAUUGCACAAUGGGGGAAACCCUGAUGCAGCCGACGCCGCGUGAGUGAUGAAGUAUUUCGGUAUGUAAAGCUCUAUCAGCAGGGAAGAACAAUGACGGUACCUGACUAAGAAGCCCCGGCUAACUACGUGCCAGCAGCCGC
rnacentral:rRNA from 1 species